GUAAGGAAUAUUGGACAAUGGACGCAAGUCUGAUCCAGCCAUGCCGCGUGAAGGAUUAAGGUCCUCUGGAUUGUAAACUUCUUUUAUAAGGGACGAAAAAAGGCUUUUCUAAGUCGUCUGACGGUACCUUAUGAAUAAGCACCGGCUAACUCCGUGCCAGCAGCCGCGGUAAUACGGAGGGUGCAAGCGUUAUCCGGAUUCACUGGGUUUAAAGGGUGCGUAGGCGGACAGGUAAGUCAGUGGUGAAAUCCUAGAGCUUAACUCUAGAACUGCCAUUGAUACUAUCUGUCUUGAAUAUUGUGGAGGUAAGCGGAAUAUGUCAUGUAGCGGUGAAAUGCUUAGAUAUGACAUAGAACACCUAUUGCGAAGGCAGCUUACUACGCAUAUAUUGACGCUGAGGCACGAAAGCGUGGGGAUCAAACAGGAUUAGAUACCCUGGUAGUCC
rnacentral:rRNA from 1 species